rnacentral:misc_RNA from 1 species
GAAAUGCGAUAAGUAGUGUGAAUUGCAGAAUUCAGUGAAUCAUCGAAUCUUUGAACGCACAUUGCGCCCCUUGGUAUUCCAUGGGGCAUGCCUGUUCGAGCGUCAUUUGUACCCUCAAGCUCUGCUUGGUGUUGGGUGUUUGUCCCCGUCUCCGCGCGUGGACUCGCCCCAAAGUGAUUGGCAGCCGGCGUACUGGUCCCGGAGCGCAGCACAUGUCGCGCAAACGAGUGCCUUGGUACGGCGGCGUCCAUAAGCCCCUCUCUCACGCUCUUGUCCUCGGAUCAGGUAGGGAUACCCGCUGAACUUAAGC